UUAUACGAUUCAUCAAGGACCGAGUUUAGU
rnacentral:piRNA from 1 species